GACGAACGCUGGCGGCGUGCCUAAUACAUGCAAGUAGAACGCUGAAGGAGGAGCUUGCUUCUCCGGAUGAGUUGCGAACGGGUGAGUAACGCGUAGGUAACCUGCCUGGUAGCGGGGGAUAACUAUUGGAAACGAUAGCUAAUACCGCAUAACAGUAGAUAUUGCAUGAUAUCUGCUUGAAAGGUGCAAUUGCAUCACUACCAGAUGGACCUGCGUUGUAUUAGCUAGUUGGUGAGGUAACGGCUCACCAAGGCGACGAUACAUAGCCGACCUGAGAGGGGGAUCGGCCACACUGGGACUGAGACACGGCCCAGACUCCUACGGGAGGCAGCAGUAGGGAAUCUUCGGCAAUGGACGGAAGUCUGACCGAGCAACGCCGCGUGAGUGAAGAAGGGUUUCGGAUCGUAAAGCUCUGUUGUAAGAGAAGAACGAGUGUGAGAGUGGAAAGUUCACACUGUGACGGUAGCUUACCAGAAAGGGACGGCUAACUACGUG
rnacentral:rRNA from 1 species